CCCAAUACAUUUCAUGCAGGCCUGAGGUCUACGAACUCUUGUUUUUGCAUGUGGUAAAUUCAAAUAAAGAAAUAAAGAAAUAAAGAGUUUACAUAUGGUUUUUGAAAUAUUUCUUGUUUAAUUUGUGAUAUACCACAACUCAGUUGUAGAAACUGAAGACUUCGACUUCAGAGCUGGGUGUCCUGUUGGAGCAAAUUAUACAACAUCCCAUUCUAUCUUCUUUGAAUAUUGUAUAUUCUACCAAAAUGACUUAGAACCAGUGUCAUUAACUUAAAAGAUUUAUCCAAAAACCAUAAAAUUCAACCUUAUAUACUUUAUAUGGUGCAUUCUAUCAAAUUAUUUUAUAGUUUUGAUUUUACUCGAUCAAUGUUACUUUACAAAGCGCGGGCCAUAGAAUAUAUACAAGCAAUGUUAGACAGGCUUCCAUGUAUGGUUAUAUAUAACAUCACCUCCCUGGUCCCGACAUCGAUGCCAGAAUAGUAACAUAGGAGCAACUACAAGCACUUUCAACAACAUUCCUCUUUUAUCUUUUCAGAGCUCUUGUGGGAGCUAAACAAGUUUGUAGGCUUGGAAAUGCUGAAAGUGCAUGUGGAGGGUUUCGCAAAAAUAAAUCUUUAUGCAGGGGCAGGUCGGGAAGCAGGUGGACACUGGAGGUCUUCACAUGAUCUUCUCUGGAAAUCCGAGCACCGGAACGACAACAGUAGCCAAAUCACUGACAGGGGAACAUCAUUCCGGGAUGAGUAACGCAAGGUACCAAGCGUCUGAAGCGAGCUCGACUACCCAGUGCUGAUGCUGACAGCAACGGCUACAGAGGCAAUAGUUGAUGAGAUAACAAAUGUGGCAAUGAUCCGACAUCCAAGUGGGAAGAGCUACCAGUAAGGAGCUGGGUUGGCAAGGGGCCAAUGAUGUAGUGAAGGCGAUGAUCUUCUGCAGGUAAAUUGACAAUCAUUAUAUUGUACCACAUAUUCUUCAAGUCUUGCACAUUCAUUACACGUAAUAUGCAUUCACAUUUUUUGUUGAAUAAAUUAUAGUUCUGCGUAAAUAUUACACAAAUAGUUCAAAAAUCCAUUGUUUUAACUAUCUACAGUACCAUCAACAGGACAUAUCAAGUAUGGGGAUGGCUCAUGGAUAGGCUGGGGACCUAUGCCUGGACUGCGGAGCACCUCACCAUCAGGAAUAGGGUAGUGGAUAUGUACCAUGGUCAGACUGUUGAUCAGUCAUAAAAAACAGGUAGAGGCCUUCACACAAACUGAUACCUGCCUGAGAUGUGUGGUAGAUUGCUUUCGAAUGGGUGUCCAGAUAAAUCAUGUCCGCUAUGUCAUACUUGAUUCACUGGGGACCAUCAUGUCCUAUUGGCAAGGAGUUGGAAGAUGUGCGUGUGAUGGGCAAGUUGGAAAUGUUCGCAUGUACGUGUUCCCACUUUUACUAAACACCAGAUUUAUCAAUCCAGACAUGGUCACUGGUUCACAACUGUGUGAGUACCAAGUAAUACACUAGGAAAUAUGUACUGGGGCAUUUGUUUGUGGAUGAACGCAGACCCACGACUCCUAGGUAUACUCUGCAAAAUCGUGCAAGCUAACAGGGAAGAAAUGGACACCACAUGAAAAGUAGCCUCAGAAGAUGGGAAUUUAAUCUGAGGACCUAGUGGACAUGAGAAACGUUUGUUCCCGGGCACUCCGAAAUAUUCCCCAUGAUCUUGACGAGGUGACCCUUAUCCAGUCGGCACGAAUUAGGCAUUGUAAGCACGUUGGCAUUCUGUUGGUGCCUGCAAAGGAAGUUGUUUCUCCAGCAAAUACAAAUGCAAGAAAGCUGGAAUACCAUUGUCGACAAAGUGCCACCAUAAUAAUCAGACAGAUUUAUGCGCACUGAAUCAACUCCACUUGGAUGUACCGACCAUAACAUGGUACAUACAAAUCGGAAAAGGAAAUUUGCCAAGAAAAAAAUCCACAAUUAUUAUACAACGCCAAUUUAAAAGGUUUAAUCAAGAUUAUUUCACACAAUAUAUAAUAAACUCUAUGUGACACAGUCUAGCGAUGACAAUGUAGAUGAAGCUCCAGACAGCUUUUUGGUCCUCUUUACUACAGUGGUACCGCGAUAGACCGGCAUGCUCAAGUCCGUAAGACAGCCGGUAAGUCAUAAUCCGAACAGUGGGUGAAUGACAAUCUGCUAAUUCUUAUGGAUGGAAGAGAUCAAGCAAGGCACAUGUCGCUGAUCUGGCGUUACAGUUGAGAGUUAUACGCGUGUAAGUAACGAUGUAGUGGGAUGAAAUAGGAAUAAAUGAGCAUAAAGGUGUACACAGUCUGAUUGUUUUUAAAGCAGAUUAGGUCAAAGCAUAUACGUCUACUACAGAUCACAAAACACAGCUAGUCUUCAAUGAGGGCACACUAUCUGAAAUAGCUGAGGGGCAAGGAGACAAAAAUCAAUGGCACACACUUGUAAUAAGAUGUUGCCUGCGUCAUUAUUAUGUACCCUCUAAGUAUGGUGUUUGUUUGAUAUUUUGUAAAGACUCCCUAGUGAAAAAUCUUUUCCUGCUUCAUCAAGUGGGAGGCACGUUUCGUCAGUACAGAUGAUAAAGGACUCAUUAAGAAUAUUAAGGAAACAUUGUCAUUAAGAAAAUAUGUUCAAAGACUGUCUGCGGAUGUUGUCCUGCGAAGACCUGGUGAAUUAAGCGGGGUCAUUUGCCCUUAAUAAAGGUUUCAUAUUAAACGUAUGUUUACACUGGAGUACAGCAGUAGGUAUGAGUCAUGAGCGCAUAAGAACCUUAGACGUUAGUGACUUUGACAAACCUUGUGGUUAAUUUAAGAUGUUCAACUGGUUUACGAAGUUAGAUGUACUUCAAUCUACAGAUUUGUAUCCGUACUGAAUCCGCUCAAUGAGUUAGAAAUGAGAAGCUGAAAAGCUGUGCCAUACAGCAUCGGCAUGUUACGAAGAGGGUCGUUGGAUAAACCACUCGCAGAUCAUUGAAGUGCAGUAAAGUGCACGUUCGAGAGCAGCAGAAAGCAUUUGGUGGCAGUGAAGCAUUUGAAUAAUCUACAGCGGAUUAUAAUACAGAACUAUUCGUCAAGAAGCUCGGCAUGAUCCGACUUGUUAGGCCGAGGAUAGGUAGUCGGGGGCAAGUGAACAAGGGACCAACAGUAUACAAGGGUAUCUUUUGAAGAUUUUAGGCGACUAAGUUUGGGCGUCAAAUGUUUUGGAAUGUUAGAGAUGAGAUCAGUCUGACUCGCCUUGCCACAUCUUUUCAAAGAGCCUCCCAACUACAUAACGCAAUAUUACUCGUGGGAGGGGACUUUAACCUGCCAAGUUGGGACUGGGCCACAACCACACUGAAGCCAGGCUCACCUCACCCCCGUCUUCAUCGGGACUUCCUCAAUCUGCUGUAUGACGAUGGCCUUGAACAAUUGGUUAAACAGCCAACGAGGGAGGAUAAUAUGUUAGAUCUACUAAUAACAAACUGCCCGGACAUGAUACCUCGAUUAGAACUUGUACCGGGCCUCUCAAGAUCAUUGUAUACCCUAUUGCGAAAUAAGUAUCAAGGUUAGAAGUUAGAAACAGACACAACGCCAAAUCCCGCUAUACGCAAAAGCAGAUUGGGAUAGUCUGAGAAAUGUAGCUACAGGCCUUACCAAGGACCUCCAUACCAAGGCUGAUACAAAAACAGAGGUACUAUGGAACAAAUUCAAAGGUCACAGUGCACAGGGAGGUCGUUGAUCGGUAGAAGCUAGGUCGUAAUCAAGGAUGGAAGGAGUCGUUCAUUAUUGAACGACUAUUUUACGACUCAUGCAACGACUCAAACACGUCCGCAGGCUAAAUCCAUCAUCCAUGGGGAAAAAUCAGGAAAGAGGUGUCUGUGUGCUUAAAGCACAGGACAUAUGAUGCAACCACAAGGAAGGAAAGGUAUUAACUUCAAUUGACAUGAGAAGUUGCCAUUUUAUUGCAAAAGCCAACAUGUAAUGUGUCAAUCUAAUUUCUUACAUCGAUACUUACAUAAUCAACUCAUCAUGUUUGUAGAAAAGCUGAAACAUCAAACGCCAAAUUAUUUUAACUUUUACAACUGGUAUAUUAAUUGUAUUUCUCUUGAAUUAUACAACUGAGGUUCUUACUUGCAUCAAUUAUAUGACUUUAUCCUGUCCUCCACCCAAAUAACAGACGUACACAACUUAUGUUAGGAAAGGCUUUAAUCGCAUAUUCAGAUAGUUUAUGCAAAUGAGGUCCUCAUAUGGAAAAUUAGAAGAACAACGCUCCCCAAAUAUAAUCUUGUUGAUGACAGUAAUUACACAUUUAACAUAUCAUUUCUGUAGAAGAAUUGCACAAGCAUCGGCUUCAACUGCAGCAAAUGCCCGUCUGUCCAUGCCAGAUGGCACAGUUCUUGGGAAGGCCCGGGAACGGGAGAGGCGUGGAAGCAUUGGUAAGCAAAAUGGUGUUAAUUUAGAACUUUCUUUGUAACACCACGUGCACUUUUAUUACAAUUUACAAACAUUAAUGUGAUGUCCUAAAUGAUAACGAUAUACUUCUGUUUCAGUCUCUCUCACCCUCCUCGAAGUGACCCCAGCAGGGAGGGAACACCUUGCGUCCGGGGACAGUGAACAGGUAAAAGUACUACGACAUUAGGAAAGACGGUACUCAGUUAAUACUGAUAUUUGUACAGAUACAGAAGGACAAUCGUCAAACUAAAUUGUGUGACUUAAGUUGACGGCAUGACAUUAGUCAACAACAUUUUCGAAACACAUUUACCGGUUCUUUAGUGUUUCCUGACCUCCCUCCUUCAGUGAACUUUAUUGCUUUUAAUAAAUGACCAUAUGUAAGUACAUGUGGAUACAAAGCCACGGUCAAUUACAUUUGUUACAACAGUUGCAACAUUUAACAGUGUCUCUUUUAUUUUCAGGUACCCCGAGACAUGACUGUCAACAACGCUAUAUACAACGUGCAGUUUUCCCCACUUGCGAGCACGUCUUCAUAAUUCUUUAUCAUCGUUUAUUUUGGUUUCAUUUUGUUACUAUAUUUUCUGUUGUGAUCUGUAACUGAAAGAUGGGCUUCUCAGUGAGUUUAUUAAUGUGAAGGGAGAAAAGAAACUGAUUUCUUGAAAUGUAAUAUUCUAUAUAUGAACAAUAAAAAUGCAACUAGAAAGUUUUUAUUACAGUUACAACUCUCUUUGUUCCGAGGACAGAUUUGACAGAUUUAGUCGUAAAUUAGGAGGGUUUAAGUCGUAACUGUGAAAUAUGGUCGUAAAUAGGUCUAAAAAAUCCGAUUUUCCGACUUAAAAAAGCCCGAUGUACGACUCGCCAACACAUUGUCCAAAAUUUACGUCCAAUACUCGACUGGUUUUAGACGCGUUGUCAAACACGACCUACGACCCAUUCUUGCCCUCUAUAACAAAGAUCAACGACCUCCCUGUGCACUGUGGAUUCACUCCUGACAGCAAUUAAGACAUAUGUGCCGCAUAAGUCAAUAAAGGUUAAGUCCAGCCAGUCAUCAACAGACGGAACAGGAAGUAUCUUAAGAUGAACUAAACUGGCUCACCAACACUAAAAGAAGAGGUUAAGGCCCUUCGCCGUACAAUACAAUACAAAGGCAGAUAAGACGUAGCUAUUGGAGCUACCUAAACUCAGUCUUUAAGGAAGAAACAACAACCCACCAGUCAGAUAAUAAAAGGUUUUGGUCUGGCCGAUUCUUCUAAAUCAAAACACUAGGAGAUCCCUUACGGCCAUCUGUCACAUUCAAGAUUGGGCCCUUCAUAGCAAAGGUCUACCAUAAGGAACUGGGGAAUGCUAAAAGGAAACAAACCACGCACUACAAAAUCUGUGUCAUUCUCAUCUCAUGAAGCCCUAUCUUUAUCUAGACAAGGACUGCAGUCGUGAUGAUAAACAUCACCAAGAAAAGACAAGAAUUUUACAAAAAGGGACCACGAUAACACCCUGUUUAAAAAGAAUUACACAAAAAUGGCAAGGGGCUAAAAUAAAGGCCCCUGUCUUUGAAACAGCAAAUCCGAGAA